rnacentral:rRNA from 1 species
AAUGAACGCUGGCGGCAGGCCUAACACAUGCAAGUCGAGCGGAGAGGGGGACGGGUGAGUGAUGCCUAGGAAUUAGCCUGGUAGUGGGGGACACCGUCCGGAAACGGGAGCCUAUACCGCAUACGUUCAGAGGAGCCUAGGGGGGAUUAGCUAGUUGGUGGGGCAAAGGGCUACCAAGGCGACGAUCCAUAGCUGGUCUGAGAGGAGGAUCAGUAACACUGGAACUGAGACACGGUCCAGACUCCUACGGGAGGCAGCAGUGGGGAAUAUUGGGCAAUGGGCGAAAGUCUGACCGAGCCAGGCCGCGUGUGUGAAGAAGGGUUUCGGAUCGUAAAGCUCUUUAGUUUGGGAAGCGGUACCUACCGAAAAAGCACCGGCUAACUUCGUGCCAGCAGCCGCGGUAAUUC